UUUAAGUUUCUACUACAAUAUUUUGCCACUUACUCUUAAUAUAAAGAUAGCAAUACUUUUGCAUAUUAAAAAAAAAAUAUUUUGCCACUUACUACAAAGUAAGUAUCCAAAUUAAAGCCUCUUGUUUAUACCACCUCAUUAUCCAAAAGAAUUUUAUCGGCUGCUCCGUCUCGUUUCAGUCUUUCAAAGUAGUAAAAUGCAUUUAUUUAAUGGAUCGGCCAUAAUUAUGGCGAUAGAUUUUUUCCACAAACGCAGUCGAAUUUUCAACCUUAGGAUUGGCAUGAAGAUUCGUGCUCACGGGGCAUCAGCACACACGCUUUGCUGUAUUGGUUCUGACACGGCGUAGAUGCAUACUGAUAUGCUUUUUAAACUUUGUUGUUGUUGUAAAUUAUAUAUUUAUAUAAAUUUACAUAAUAGUUACACCUCACUAAUACACUAUUUACAUAUGUAAUUUUAGGAUUUACAUAUGUAAUUUUAAGACUUACAUAUAUAAUUUUGGGGCUUACAUUGUAAAUACACUAAAAUUACAUAUGUAAUUUAGUGACUUACAAUGUAAACACAUGCCGACUAUAUUUUGUGAAAAAUAUGACGCCAUAAAUAUAGCUAGUCCCUUUAUUUAAUAGGAAACAUAGCACUGAUUAUCUCGUUUAAUGAUUUCUUGAGCAAUAAGCAUUUCUUCCAUUUAUACAUAUUCUUGUCCAGCAAGUUGCAGGAUGCGAUCGACUGCAUAAAUCACCAUGACCUUCAAUUCAGAGAUUUUUUUUUUGUAUCACCAUCCAAAAACAUUACACAUUGGAGUGGUGAAUCCAUCUCAGAAUAAAAAUUCAAUGCAGUGGAAGCAGGAGAAGAUAGAUUUGGCGAGGUGAGCAAGCAGCAUAAAUCUCUGAAUAUCUGAUCAGCAAUCAAUCUCCCAGAUACAGAGCGGGAUGAGCCUGGCCUACGUGAGCAGGCUGUGCGCCAGGGCGGUGCAGGCCGCCGUGCGGGCGGAGCAGCCGGCCACGACGCGCCGCCGGCCGCCGCACGCCGGGCGGCCGCCACCUCCCUCCUCCGGCGGUGGAUCGCCGGCCGAGGUGGCGCCGGCGGCGAAGUCGGUGGCGGAGGAGAAGGCGAGGAGGUUGAGGAGGAGGGCGGAGAAGGACGAGAAGGUGAUGCAUCUCGUCUGCUGGGGACCAAGCUAGUGCAAAACCUGAAGAAUGCUUAGUUUCAGUUAUUUCUGCAUAUGCAGUUUCUGAAGAUCAAUUUUCCUUUUCUUGCCUCUGCGAUUAAAAACUACAGAGCUUGGUUGUGGCCAGGAAGACCAGGAUUAGUUUUAGACUGUGUUUAUGUAGAUCCUGGGAAUUUUGUUUAAUUACAUGUAUAUAUGUUGGGCUGUUGGCCAGAUUAGUGCAGAGAUCUGAAGAAUGUUCAGACAGUUCUGCAUAUGCACUUGUCCAGUUCAAGCAGAAGGUAGAUUCUUGAAAGAUUGGCUGCAAAAAUAAUCCGAGAUUUAGUAUUUAAAACAAGGCAAUCUUUAGUCGCAACUCGCAAAUGUGAUGUGUUGACUGCUAUUCCCUGAUCUUACAUUUUACUGAUCAAUACUACAUAUAUUUUAUUGUCAGGUUAUAACAUGCUGCACUUCAAGGCUUCAAGCUGAGCAAACUCAGUUUCAAAGCAGCAUAGUUGUUCUGGCAAGCCACAAUCCGCAUUUUUUGGACUUCUGUUCCUGUAAAUCCUACCACAGCUUUUGGUGAAAUGUAUGUAAAUCCUACUAGAAUUUUUGGUGAAAUGUAUGUAUGCAUGCUGGCCAAGCUAGUGGAGUCUGGAGAGCCCUGAAGAAUGUUCAGUUCUGCUUCUGCUUGUGCAUAUGCACUUGUGCUGCAGUUUCUGAAGAAAGGUAGAUCCUUGAAACAUUGGAUACAGCCAUUAGUCGAUCUAUGAUUUCGAAUAAAAGAUCCUUGAAACUUCUUUUGUCGUUUGAAAAGUUAAAAGCGCGCCACAGUUCAAGCACAUCAAACUCAGGUUCUGAGUUUCGCAAAAUUUGUCAAUGAAACACAUCAUAUUUUCAGGCAAGAACUGGAGAUGAAAAAACUAAAAACCUUCACAUCACAUGCUUUUUCCGUUGGCAAAAAUAUUCACGUCUUUGAUCCAUGGAGAUCGAGGAAGGCAGGAAGAAAGAAAUCAAGAAAACAAAAAUCACAAGCAAAGCCCAAGAAAAUGGACAUGGAAAUGGAUGUGGCCUCAGGAGUUUGGGCCCCAGAAGGAGAUGAACAUGAACGCCCGCAGCGACUCCU